AUGACACAACCAAAAUCCUAUUUCCAAAAGUACCGCAAAGAAUGGGAGUCACUACCUGAAUUUAAAGGUUGGCUGAAACCACAUGCAGGUAGUGACAUUAGAGCUACCUGCAUGUACUGCAAAACAGACCUCUAUGCAAAGUUGUCAGACAUUAAAAAGCAUGCAGCUACCCAGAAGCACAUCGAGAAGGCUAAGCCUUACAAUCAGGCAAGCCAACCCAAACUGACAUUCGUUGCCAAAAAAACGGACACACUGAAGCAGGCAGAGGCCACAAUUGCUUUGGCUAUCAGUGAUCACUGCUCAAUUUUGUCAUGUGACCACAUUGGUUUAGCAUGCAAAGCAGCUUUCCCUGAUUCUACUAUUGCCCAAAAUUUUCGGAUGCACCGUACCAAAUGCACUGAGAUGAUAAAUGGUGUUUUGGCUCCAUAUUUCAUACAGCGGUUGGUGGCUGACAUUGGCAGUAACAAAUACAGCCUUUUGCUUGAUGAAAGCACAGAUGUCAGUGUCUCCAAAUAUCUGGGCAUUGUGGUUCGCUAUUUUAGUGAGGGAAAGGGACACGUGGUGGACACCUUCCUUGGCCUUCUUGAGCUGGAGGGAGGGGAUGCGAAGAGCAUCGCCAAGGCAGUUCUCUCCUUUCUCCAUCAGUCUGGCCUUGAGAAGGAGAACCUGCUUGGCAUUGGAACAGACAAUGCAUCAGUAAUGACAGGGAUAUACAAUGGUGUUCACAAAAUUCUUAAAGAAGAAAUAAAACACCUUGUUCUCAUCCGCUGUGUAUGUCACUCCUUGCAACUGGCUGUCAGCUCUGCUUCCAAAACCACUCUUCCUCGCAGUGUUGAGUUCCUGGUCAGGGAAACCUACAAUUGGUUCUCCAUCUCCCCUAAAAGAAAAGAAGCAUACAGGACAGUUUAUGAAACCAUAAACUGUGGCGAGAGGCCAUUGGCCAUAACAAGAGUCUGUGCCACACGCUGGCUUUCAAUAGAACCUGCUGUAUCAAGACUACUCAGUCAGUGGGAGGAGCUAAAGCUCCAUUUUAGUCUGACCAAGACAAGCGAGCAUUGCUACAUGGCAGACGUUUUGCAUUCAAUGUAUGCUGACCCACAGAACCUACUGUACUUGACCUACCUGAAAUCAAUCCUUGGUGAGGUGCAGGCUGCAGUGAAGGCCUUUGAGGGAGAGCAAACAGAUCCUCUCAAGCUCCUGGACUGUUUAAUUCUACUAAUUAAAUCUGUGUGCAGCAGAGUUCUUCAUCCUGGGGCUACAAUUGACAUCCUGAAAGACCCAAUAGAGAACCACAUCUCACCCAGGCCGUAUCUUGGCUUUGCAUUUGAGUCCAAAACAGCAGAGCUUACCAUCUCCCCUGAGGAUGAGGACUGUGUGAGACGGAGGUGUAUUAGUUACACCGUUGCCCUAGCCAAUGAGCUUCGAGCAAGACUUCCGGACAGUCUGGAAAUUCUUCAGCACAUGUCAUUGUUCAGCGUCGGAGAGACCCUGAAACAAAACAAGAACCCAGAUGACAUGGCAAAGCUGAUGGUCUUAUUAGGAUAUGAUCCUGAAACAACUGACCGCAUAAUUAAUCAGUGGAGAAGUGUCCAUUUUCAGAGAUGGGAGGAAACAGCCAACACCACUGGGUUCUGGUUUGAGGUCAAAAAGCACAGGGAUGCAGCAGGCCUUAACCCAUUUGAAGAGUUGGCGUCUGCAGCAGUUGCAGUUCUUUCGCUGCCUCACUCAAAUGCUGCAGUAGAAAGACUCUUCAGCCAAAUGGGUGUCAUUAAAAACAAAUUAAGAAGCCGCAUGUCCCUCCAAACUCUCACCUCCAUCCUCCACAUAAGAUAUGGCUUAAGACUAGCUGGGAACACGUGUUAUGAGCACAAGUUGCCAGAUAAGGUGCUAAAUCUCUUUGCCACGUCUGCUGCCUACUCUUUUAAAGCAGACAGUUGUCCAGGUCCAAGCAUGCAGUCAUCCAGCACUGCUUCUCAGAGGGAAAGCACUGAUAGUGCUUGUAUAGAGGACAUGGAGUUCUGCCUCAGGGCCCUCGAUGAUCUAGAGUAA
ensembl:lncRNA